GUGCUCAGCUUUGGCAGCACAUAUACUAAAAUUAGAACGAUGCAGAGAAGAUUAGCAUGACCCCUGUGCAAGGAUGACACAAAUUCGUGAAGUGGUCCAUAUUUUU
ensembl:snRNA U6 U6 spliceosomal RNA